GAAACAUGGCUGUUCGAAACAGCUCAAAUUUGUAUUAAAACUUGUCGUUUUUGGAUGUUAAGAUGGCCUAAUGGCGACAUACAAGAACCGUAAAAAGGCCAACUUUUAAACGAUUUUGGAACCGGUUUGUCGUGGAUUAACUAGCAUUGUUUUUGGAUAAAUUAACUGUUUGAACAUCGACAAUUACAUCGCGAAGUCCACAGCUUGAAUCGCCCGAAAGGAUACUACAUUAUUCGACGGAUAUCUAUCUGGUGUAUAAGCGAUUUGCUAUAAAAUUACACUAUCAACUCGAUGGUAUUGCCAGUGGAAGUACGUGUAUCUCGGGAACCACCUAGACGUAAACAAAUGCUAACAAACUUUAUGUAGAAAUGUUGCUUGUUCAUGUCGUUGUUAUUAUCGAAGUCCACAGUAAUGAAACAUUUAAACAAAGUAGGUUAAAAUUUUAUAUUUUUGUCAACUCCUAUACUGUUUAUAGUAAUUUUCGGUUGCCAUAUUAAGGCAAAGUGCGCAUGUCCAUCGCCAUCUUGUCCCAAAUUUCUGGUGAUGAUGACGUACGAUCCGCGUAAAAUCCGCAAUGCGGAUUCAUUUUUCCACUCAUUCAGCA